AACCAAACUCGUAUUGAUGAACAAUAUGAUUGUUUUAAGGCUGUAAUAAAACUACUAUUGUAUAUACCUCUGCUUACUUGUAGGAGUAUUUCAUAAGAAAAUUUCUAGUAAUGGAAUUGCUAGACUAGAGAGAAUACUAAUGUAAAAACACUGUAAACAUUACUGUUAAAAAUAUUAGAAUUUUUUCCUGCAAAUAUUCCUCUUAAAUCUAUCAAUUUAUACUCAUACCAUCAGGGUAUGAUUGUUGCCAUUUUCCUUGCCCCUUGAUGUCGUUUGGCUGUGUCCCCAACCCAAAUCUCACCUUGAAUUGUAAUAAUCCCCACAUGUCAAGGGCAGCACCAGAUGGAGAUAAUUGAAUCACGGAGGCAGUUGCCGCCAUGCUGUUCUCGUGAUAGUGAAUGAGUUCUCACGAGAUCUCAUGGUUUUAUAAGGGGGCUAUCCCCUUCACUCAGUACUUUUUCUCUCUCCUGCCGCCCUGUGAAUGUGAAGGGGUGCCUCCCGCCAUGAUUGUACGUUUCCUGAGGCCUCUCCAGCCAUGCGGGACUGGUCUUGCUCUGUCACCAGGGCUAGAGUGGAGUGGUGGAACACAGCUCGCUGAAGCCUCGACUUGCCAGACUCAAGCAAUGCUCCUGCCUCAGCCUCCAGAGUAUAAAUUUGAAUCCCUUCUAGCCUCAACUAUAGUAAGAUAUUUAUCUAGAGAAUAAUCGAGGAAAGUUGAGAUAGAGACAAUCAGAUCAGAUGAAAGGGACAUCAGGAAAGGGGGUACAUAUGUAGGAUGGUUACAUGGAUAUAUUGUGUGAUGCUGAGGUUUGGGCUUCCACUGAACCUGUCACCCAAAUAGUGAACACAGUACACAAUAGAUUCAACCUUUGCCCCCUAGGAUCCCUCCCCCUUUAUGGAAUCCCCAGUGUCUAUUGUUCCCACCUUAUAAAGGGUAUUUUAAAAGUGAAAAAGUACAAAUUACAAAAAAAAAAAAUACAGUUGAUUUUAUUUAAAAUUCACUAUGUUGUCCUUUUUUUCUUUUUUCUCAUUUCACCAAACACUGAAAGAAACUCAAGUUUCAUCUGGUAAUCACUGCUUUAAAUUUUGUUCCAACAUUGUGGAAAGGGUGUGUCUGCCAGCCUGUCUAUCUAGGUUUCUAUUCAAAAGAGGAAACACAAGACCUUGGGAACAUGUGGAAACGUUAAAUUAAAACUAUACAUUAACUGGCUUCCAGCAUCUGAGGGAAAGGGUGGUUCUCAAGUAGAUUAGCAUUUGCAGAGAGAAGCACGCGGUUAGUCAAACAUGGUGAUGGAUAGCUGGUUGAUUCUCUGUGUUCUUUGCUGCUCUAUUCUUUUCUCCAAAUUACUGCCUAGAAUUUCCCAGUAUCUCUCUGUUUAUUGGAC
rnacentral:lncRNA from 1 species